rnacentral:rRNA from 1 species
GACGAACGCUGGCGGCGUGCUUAACACAUGCAAGUCGAACGGAAAGGCCCUGCUUUUGUGGGGUGCUCGAGUGGCGAACGGGUGAGUAACACGUGAGUAACCUGCCCUUGACUUUGGGAUAACUUCAGGAAACUGGGGCUAAUACCGGAUAGGAGCCCCUGCUGCAUGGUGGGGGUUGGAAAGUUUCGGCGGUUGGGGAUGGACUCGCGGCUUAUCAGCUUGUUGGUGGGGUAGUGGCUUACCAAGGCUUUGACGGGUAGCUGGCCUGAGAGGGUGACCGGCCACAUUGGGACUGAGAUACGGCCCAGACUCCUACGGGAGGCAGCAGUGGGGAAUAUUGCACAAUGGGCGGAAGCCUGAUGCAGCAACGCCGCGUGCGGGAUGACGGCCUUCGGGUUGUAAACCGCUUUCGCCUGUGACGAAGCGUGAGUGACGGUAAUGGGUAAAGAAGCACCGGCUAACUACGUG